rfam:Desulfobacteraceae bacterium A6 Ga0073114_1092, whole genome shotgun sequence.
AUAGUUUCAUACGGUGAAGGCUUAUCGAGCCACAUCGGCCACGAGUUAUGCGUUUAUAAUCGUAGGGUUAUGAGCGAAGCGUUGACAGGGGAAAGUGCGGGCCGGGUAUUGAGCCGCGAAAGGAUAUAAUACUUCGGGUUAGCCCGUAUAUCUCACGAGGAGGCUUUAGAUCA